rnacentral:lncRNA from 10 species
UUUGUGUUAGGCUGGCACUGGGUUGGGUGACAAUCCUCAGGAAUUGUGGAGCCUGACUCCCUUGGAAGUUCUCUGCCAGCUCGCUGACCCCAGUCCUCGUAAACACAGUUCUUUGCCAAGCCCUUUCCUUGCUCCACCGCUCACUGUGAUACGAGCCCCACUCCAAACCCCAGACUCCCGAACUGAUCUCAUGUAAACUUCAGGACCAUCCUUUUGGGGUCCUGCUCUUGCGGUUGCGAAAUUAGUUUGAGGAGGCCAUGUGAGUGAAUUUCUACAGCAUAAAAGAAAUCACUGAUCAUCUGACCAGGCCCAGAAGACUCCUGGCUUCCACACAUACCCAUGAAUCACCUGAUUAAGGCCCACUCUCAGGAUUAUUCCCCUAUCAAUGCACUGAAUCUACUUUCAACCAAGGUACCAAAAACUUCAUUGCUCAAUCUAAUAAACUCCUUUCAAUG